UCAGACCGUAACUGACGUCGGGCUGCUGACCGGUAGGAAUGGUAACCUGAUCAAUCAGGGUCUUUCCAUCCGAGUCGAAGAAAAAGAGACGGUUCUCUUUUUGGGGAUCGAGUACAAAGUUCAAAUGAAACGUUCCGUGAAACGGUCUGUUAUCAGCCCAGAAUAACACAUGCUGACGGGGAGGGAUUUUGGUUUUCACGUCUCCUUUCGGGAUCAUGUAUUUUUUGGGAUCGCUCGGAUCGUUCGAGAUGUAACAUCCUCUGAUGUCGACUGUUCCGGGCGAGUUGUUGUACAAUUCAAUCCAUCCGCUUCGUGAACCGUAUUCGUCGACGAAAUUAUCGACAUUGAUGACAAGCACUUCGUUCAGGCGUAUGGAUGAGGUUGACUGCCCGUUGGCAUAGAAACCGCCGAUCAGCAUCAGUAUGGCUAAAAAUAUUCCUGUUUUCUUCAUUUUUCAAAUUCUGAUAAUAAAUUACAAAGGAAUAUUUCCGUGUUUCUUUGCCGGGUUCGUCAGCUUUUUCGUAUGAAGUUGCUGCAAUGCGCGAAUGAUGCGGAAACGGGUGUUACGCGGUUCGAUCACAUCGUCGAUAUAGCCGUAUUUCGCUGCGUUAUACGGGUUGGCGAAGAGUUUAUUGUAUUCCUCUACUUUUUCGGUCAUCAAGGUCGCGGGAUCAGCCGCUUCUUUCAGUUCUUUGGCAUACAGUACUUCGGCUGCACCCGAUCCGCCCAUGACGGCGAUUUCGGCUGUCGGCCAUGCGUAGUUCAUGUCACCGCGCAGCUGUUUACAGCUCAUCACGAUAUGCGAUCCGCCAUACGAUUUGCGCAACGUAACGGUAACUUUGGGUACGGUUGCUUCACCGUAUGCGUAAAGCAGCUUGGCUCCGUGCAGGAUGACCGCAUUGUAUUCCUGCCCUGUUCCGGGAAGGAAGCCGGGUACGUCGACGAGUGUGACGAUCGGGAUGUUAAAAGCAUCGCAGAAACGUACGAAGCGUGCGCCUUUGCGUGAUGCGUUGCAAUCCAGUACUCCUGCCAGAAAUUUGGGCUGGUUGGCUACGAUGCCGACGGACUGGCCGUUGAAUCGAGCAAAGCCAAUGAUGAUAUUUUUGGCGUAGCUGGGCUGUAUUUCAAAGAAUUCGUUAUUAUCAACGAUGGUCCGGAUCACUUCGUACAUAUCGUAGGCCUGGUUGGCGCUGUCGGGGAUGAUCUCGUUCAGGUUGUCGUCAAGCCGGUCAAUCGGGUCAUUGCAUUCCGUAUAGGGAGCUUCUUCCAGAUUGUUCUGCGGGAUAUAGCUGAGCAACUGGCGAAUCAUGGCAAGUCCUUCUUCUUCGGUAGCUGCCGUAAAGUGGGUAACCCCCGAUUUCGUAGAGUGAACGCUUGCUCCACCCAGAUUUUCCUGGGUCACAUCCUCCCCUGUUACGGUUUUCACCACUUUCGGCCCGGUGAGGAACAUGUACGAUGUGCCUUCGGUCAUCAGGGUGAAGUCGGUCAAUGCCGGCGAGUAAACCGCUCCGCC
rnacentral:rRNA from 1 species